GCCUUCGUGGUGUAACGGCAGCAUACUUGGCGUAUAUUCGAGAAGCCUAGGUUCGACUCCCGGCGAGGGCA
rnacentral:tRNA from 1 species